ACUAUUUUGACAGAAAAAUGUGAUGGUUUUAGAAAUCAUAAAUAUAUAAUUUAGAUUAUAUAAAUAGUA
rnacentral:tRNA from 1 species